rnacentral:lncRNA from 1 species
AUGUUUAAAUAUGCCCGCACCCACCAUGAUUUGAACUCAGAAUUUACGCAUGGGAGUGUAGGGUCACAUGCAUAUGUGGGAAAAGAGAGUUUAUGGGAAGAACUGAUGUGUUAUCACAUUUUUUUCACACUCUCUUAUUUUUGUUCUUUUUCUCACCCAUCUCCCCUAAGCUAUUAUACUUUUCUAAUAUUUUUUCCUGUGAUCACUGUAGAACAAUAGUUAUUUAGAAACCACCUUCCUUUUUCUAAACCCUUUCUCAGAACUCACAUUUUCUGUUAAAACCUUCCAUAAGACAAAUUCCUAUUUGAUUCACUAUGAUAUUUAAGGUAUCCUGAUACUGUAGCUAAUUGACACUAGGCAUCAAAAGAAGACUUAGAAAAUCAAAACCAAAGAAGAACAUUAAAGCAGGAAAAGAAUUUAAAAGUCCUGGAGACACGUUUCUUCUUUUUUUUUUUUUUUCCUAUAUGAAGAAACUGGGACACAUAAAAGUAGCUUCCUUAGUGUCACACAGCAGCAGAUCUAUGGGACUAGAACCGGAGUUUCUCGGAAUCUUUUUUCUCUUAUCUUUCUCAGAAUCUUUUUUCUUUUAUAUUUAUUCUAAAGGAAUACAAAUUUUGUUUCAACACUUCUUUAGUUUUUUUAAAAAAAUUAUUUUUAAUUACAAAGAAGCAUGUAUUUAUUUAUUCAUUCAUUAACUCUAUAAAUAUACGAAGGCACACUCUGUUCCAGCACCACUGGCCCUGGCAAUACAGAAAUCAGUGGGACAGAUGGGGGUCCUUCCCUGUCUAGAAGCAACAUCUUCAGCACCUUCAUUAUGAAAAAAAUAAAGGGGGGGGGACAGUAGAUAGAAACACAAAUUGCACUCAGAUCCUGCCCUCAUGGAAUUUAGGAUCAAUCAGAGGCUAAGUGAAGUGGUACCGAGGAAAUAAAAUUAAGGUUGAAAAGAGAGGUUAGAUACUGGGUGUUUUAAUUGCCCCAUUUAUAAAGGGUGCUUGUUAUUCCAUCCAGAGUAAGUAAUCAUUGGAGGAUUUUAAACAGAGAAGUCAGGGACUAAGAUCUAUGUUUUAGAGAAUUCCUUCUGGUACAGUAAAAAAGGGGCUGAUCGGAUGAAAACACCAAUUUGAAAGGGAUCUGGGAGUCAGGGCAAGAAAUGAUAAGGAUGUGAACCAGAGCAGCAGCCACCCUGCCUUACAGCAGCCAUCCCAUUGGCCACAUCCUUCACCAAGGCUGGCCCUCUGCAUGCAGCAGCACAGAGCUGGGCACUGACUUCAAGAAAGACAUGAGUCCCCUGCUCCAAAAGCUCACUUGCUAACCUAAAAUAUCUGAUAGCAUUCCAGAAAAGAGAUAUUUAUUGGGUGGUGCCAUUUAAAACCCCAGAGCCCCCUGAAAAGCCAGUGUGAGUCAGAACUGGAGAUCAAGUGGCUGCACCCAUGAAAAGCAGGGUCAAGACCCAGUUCCUUGCCAAGUCCUAGACUUGGAGGGAUCUCCCAAGCUCUUCCCCAACUAGACCACUCUUACAUAAAGAAUGGAAUUCUAUGAAUACUAAUUAAGGCAAGCUAGUUUGAUUUCCUAUAGUAGGGGUUGGCAAAAUUUUCUUUAAAGGGCAAGAGAAUAAACAUUUUAGGCUUCAUGGGUGAUAGAGUCUCCAUGGUAACUACUCAAUUCUGUUGCUAUAGACAAAAUCUAAAUGAAUGAGCUUGGCCGUGUUCCAAUAAAAUUUCAGUUGGCAUUGAGGGUGGCUGUUUCCCAGAUCCAAGCCCUUUCCAUUUCUUCUCCUGAAUCCCAGGAUCCCUUUCAAACUAGUCUGCUCUUCCUAUCCAGUCAAUCCUCUUCACUGUACUAACAGGAAUUCUCUAAAACACAGAACUUAGUCCAUGAUUUCUCUGCUUAAAACAGGCAGAGGGCCAGAUUUAACCUACAGACAUGGUGUGCCCACACCCCAACCCCACUCCUCCAUUUCCCAUCCUAUAGAAAUCACUCUCUAUAAUUUUCCUACAAGGACGUAUUUACUGUACAUUAUCCCAUGCAUCCUUAACAAGUACAAAUCUAACAUUUCAGCAGAAUUGCUAUUUUUUCUCAUUCCUUACUUUCUUUUUGUGAAGCAGAUAAACACUGUGUUUAGAAAAUAAAUGUAGAAUUUUGUUUUAUUUUAGGUACUGAUAAGCUGUAGCAAGUAAUAUAAAUGCAUAGCAUUUAAAACUGGAAGGGAUUUGGGGAUCUACUAAUCUAACCCCCUUUCCUGAUGAGGCUGCAGAGACAAAAGGACUGCCCAAGGUCAUAGACCUUGCCCAGGUAUGCAAGUUGUGUUCAAGCUGUGCAAGCUGAGGGGCACCUUUUUAGGGGUAUGUUCCUCUGUGUGACCACACUCAUAGAAACAUGCUCUGACUCUUUUCCUUGAUUUAUUCAACUUCAUUUUGAAAAAUAUAAUAAAACCAAACUAAAAUAGCCUCAGUUUCUUUUUGAAAAAUAUAAUAAAACCAAACUAAAAUAGUCUCCUAAAAUAAAACCAAGCCUUAAAGAAGCACAUUCUGAUGACAGCCCAAACCAGCUAGCAAGUCAUCCUCUCUGAAGGCCAUGGUCAAAUAGGUUCCUGUGGCCAAGCAGACACACACAGGUGUCAGCUGAAGCAUCAGUGCCCCUGAAAUUCUUGUUCUGGCAGAAGAUUGACUAGCUGUGAUGUGUAGAAAUCCAGACUUAAAUCACUUUCUUUAGGAGCAUCCAUUCUUCUGUCCUAGAACCAUCAGAAAUAAUUUGUCUAUUAUAUUAAAAUGUUAUUUGUCAGUUGAGAUUUCCAAUACCAUACAAGCUAACUGAGCCUUGUGGUGGAAAUGCCCACAAAUUCUCCAAGGAACUGUGAGCCACAAUUAACAUUCCAUUGGAAUGGGGUGAAUACAAAACUAGAGAAGAAAUGGCAAGAAGAGGAGUAUUUCCAAUGACACAAUUUUCAUUCUGACAUUUCCAUCUUUUCUCCAGGAUUCCCAUUUUGCAGGCAAAUAAAGAUAAAAAUGCCAUACACUAUUUUUGAAUUUAGAUCUUCAAGAUGGAAUAUUUAUCCCCGCAUUGAACAUUUUCCUUGAAUGCAAGUUACAGAAAUUAAUUACACUAUGUCCUUGACUGACUCAUCCAGCAAUGGUUCCCAGAGAGAGGUCACAUUAAUUGUAUUCAUUCUUUUAAUAUCCUUCCACUUAACAUCAUGUCCACUUGGCAUCUUUGGAUUUUAAUAUUCUUAAAUCUUUUUAUGCACAUUUAGUUCCAUCACAAAAGAUUGUAAACUCUUUAUCAGUUGAUGUUAUCUUUUAUUUGUUUUAUUUCAUAUUUUUCUUUCCCUUCAUUUACCAGAUUUAUUUCAGACACACAGCUAAUCUAGAUUAGCAUCAACUCUGAUCCAGAGGACUGGGGCAGUUCAAAAGAGUAAGCUCUCUUCUGGGCUAGAGUGAGAUUGCUCUAAAGACUUAGAAAUGUCCCUGGGUUUCCACUACUUAACUUUGUUUACUAGAUGCCAGGCAAUACGCAAGUGCUUCGGGUUAUGUCAUUUAAUCCUCCAACAACUCUAUGAGAUACGCAUAUAAUUAUUUCCAUUUAAAGAGAGGGGUAUUAAGGUUUAGGGAGGUUAAAUAAAUCAUCCAAGGUGACAAAACGAAGAAGUGCACAGGCUAAGGACCCCAACCCGUUUUGUCAGCCUACAGAGCACAGACUGUUAAAUGCUAUGAAGACCCUUCUAGUUUGCCAGAUGAGGCCAGAAUAAUUUUUUUUUCAAAAUGAAAAUCAGAUUAUGUUACGCUUCUGCUGUGAACCCUUCAAUAGCUUUUCAUGUGUGCAGGACUUUAUUCAAAAUGCAUCUUCCAUAAUAUGGCAUUUAAAAUCCCCUGCCCUCCCUCUCAUUCCUACCUCACAUUUUUCUACCCAUUCUACUCCUGACUUACACCUUAUGUACCAAGCUGCUUGCUUCUAAAUAUGUUGCAUUACUUCACUCAUCCUGCUUUCCUCAUAAUGCCCUCUCUGCUCGGAGAACCCCCUUUCCUAAUCUGCCUGGGACAUACUUACUCAUUAACAUUCCAUUCACUGUCCCCUCUUCUUAAAGAUUUUUAUGAACUUCCUCCCAGUUUGCUUCCAUAAGCCCCAUUUCCACCUCGUGCAGACUUUUGUCAUGGUGACUAGAGCACAUCACUGUACUCCUGUCAAUAAAUCCAAAUGCCUCUGAAAACCAAGCCCUAGGCCUUAUUUAUCUUCUAUUCUUAGUGCCUAUUAUAUGCACAUAGUAGCUGCUUAAUCAUUGCAGCAACAAACCAUUUGCUGAGCAUCUGACAUGUGCUCAGUUUACAUGUAUCUAUUAAUCAUACAUCUGUAUGUAUGUAUAUGCAUAUGUAUAUGUAUGUUCAUGAUAGGUGUUAGUACUCCCCUACAGAUAAGGAAGCUAUUGUAGCUUGGAGAGGUUGCAUAAGUGACAACUGGAAUUUGAACCCAAAUUUGACUGACUUCAAAGAGGAAAGGAGGAGGAAGAAAAAGAUACACAAUUUCAAACAAAUGAAAUACUCUAUAUGACAUUGAGUGGCAACAUUGACCCCACCAGAAGGUGAACAGCAUAUUUUGCAAAUGGACAAUACUAUUAUGGGGGGAAUCUAUCUUAGAUGCUCAACUGGUGGUACCCUUUUUGGGGGAGAAUUCAAAGCAAGUAUGUCUGCUGCUGCAGAACCAUUUGCACAAUUCCACUGCCAGGAAUAAAGUGGAAAGGAAAAAAAGAGACUUUUAAAAUCACAGUUCUUCCUCUAGGACAGACUGUCAUUCUAUCUCAACAGAUAAAAAAUAAAAAUCUUUAUAACAAACCAGACUAGUAAAGAAGUUCUUU